GAGCGUUCCCCUUCGGGGGACAGAGUGACAGGUGGUGCAUGGUUGUCGUCAGCUCGUGUCGUGAGAUGUUGGGUUAAGUCCCGCAACGAGCGCAACCCUUAUCUUUAGUUGCCAUCAUUCAGUUGGGCACUCUAGAGAGACUGCCGGUGACAAACCGGAGGAAGGUGGGGAUGACGUCAAAUCAUCAUGCCCCUUAUGAUUUGGGCUACACACGUGCUACAAUGGAUGGUACAAAGGGCAGCAAAACCGCGAGGUCAAGCAAAUCCCAUAAAACCAUUCUCAGUUCGGAUUGUAGUCUGCAACUCGACUACAUGAAGCUGGAAUCGCUAGUAAUCGUAGAUCAGCAUGCUACGGUGAAUACGUUCCCGG
rnacentral:rRNA from 1 species